rnacentral:rRNA from 1 species
GACGAACGCUGGCGGCGUGCUUAACACAUGCAAGUCGAACGGAAAGGCCCUGCUUUUGUGGGGUGCUCGAGUGGCGAACGGGUGAGUAACACGUGAGUAACCUGCCCUUGACUUUGGGAUAACUUCAGGAAACUGGGGCUAAUACCGGAUAGGAGCUCCUGCUGCAUGGUGGGGGUUGGAAAGUUUCGGCGGUUGGGGAUGGACUCGCGGCUUAUCAGCUUGUUGGUGGGGUAGUGGCUUACCAAGGCUUUGACGGGUAGCCGGCCUGAGAGGGUGACCGGGCACAUUAGGACUGAGAUACGGCCCAGACUCCUACGGGAGGCAGCAGUGGGGAAUAUUGCACAAUGGGCGGAAGCCUGAUGCAGCAAAGCCGCGUGCGGGAUGACGGCCUUCGGGUUGUAAACCGCUUUCGCCUGUGACGAAGCGUGAGUGACGGUAAUGGGUAAAGAAGCACCGGCUAACUACGUG